AUUGAACGCUGGCGGCAGGCCUAACACAUGCAAGUCGAACGAGUGGCGGACGGGAGAGUAAGGUCUGGGAAACGGCCUGAGGGAGGGGGAUAACUACUGGAAACGGAAGCUAAUACCGCAUACCAUCGGAUGUGCCCAGAUGGGAUUAGCUAGUAGGUGGGGUAAAGGCUAACCAAGGCGACGAUCCCGAGCUGGUCUGAGAGGAUGACCAGCCACACUGGAACUGAGACACGGUCCAGACUCCUACGGGGGGCAGCAGUGGGGAAUCUUGGACAAUGGGCGCAAGCCUGAUGCAGCCAUGCCGCGUGUGUGAGGAAGGCCUUCGGGUUGUAAAGUACUUUCAGCGGGGAGGCGUUACCCGCAGAAGAAGCACCGGCUAACUCCGUGCCAGCCGCCGCGGUAAUAC
rnacentral:rRNA from 1 species